rnacentral:sRNA from 1 species
GAGUAUGGUAUGCUAUCUUAUCUAGGUGU